rnacentral:lncRNA from 1 species
AUGCUGAGAUUCACAGGGUCUGCUGGGAGCAGGGAGGAGGGCAGCGCAGUCAGUCCACGCAGAAGACAGUUGUAUGCCGGAUCCCAGCAGCCGUUACCCUGCAGGGUCCGCCUGAUGCCAGGAACCGACGGGGCGCUGCGAGACGCCGGCAGGGCCUGCAGGAGAGCGGCCGGAGCCGAGCGGAGCAGAAGGAAGGCCGGAGGCAGAGCAGCAGCGCCCGGGGGUUUGGUCCGCAGGAAUUUAUUGGCGGUUUUUCCCGCAUUUGGUUUCUGUCCAAACCGAGGUUCUGGCCGCCCUUCCUGCCGGCCGGCAGCCGCCCGCAGCUCCCGCAGGAGCCCCGCGGUCCCGAGCGCUGCCGGAGCGCCCCGCGGCACGUCCUGCCCGGCACCGAGCGGAGCCGCGGUGCGCCGCGAGCCUGGCUUCCCGCCGUCCCAACCCGCGGCACGGCGAGCCGCACAGGGGCUGCCAUCGCCGUCCCUGGCGGUCCUGGAGCGAACGCGGAGGAAUGGGGCCGGCGGGCGCGUUGUCAGCAGCGCCCGUUUGGCCGCCGGCUGCACCGCUCCCCGGCCUCUCCCGGCACGGGGCGGGCUGUCGAGGAGCGGAGCUCCUCAGCCCGUGCCCGGCGCUUCCCGGCUCCGCAGCGGAGCAUUCCUGGCCGCCGGCUGCCACCUAGCGUCGCCGGGCGGGGGCCGGGGCGCCGUGCGGGGAGCAGCCGGGGCCGGAGGGCUCCGAGCGCCGCGGGGACACCCGGCCCUGCCCCGCCCCGAGCGCCCGAAGCCGGAGCCGACGCAGCCCGGAGCUCCCGGGCGGCGCAUCGGCACAGCGGCGCUGCGAGGUGAAAGUCCGCCCGGCUUCUGCCAGCGUGCCCGCAGCCUGGGCCGGCUCUGCAAAUAUUGGGUUACCGGCCAGCUGGAAAAGAGGCUCCUGCCCUUUGUUCUGUUUGCCGUUUCCUCCGGCUGUUUGGUUUCAGUUAAUCAUCUUGAGAAGGCAAACAGCAGCGGGGAGGGAUGGCGUGCCCACACUACCACUACACACUUGCCCCUCGGGGUGGGUGACACCGGCCCGCCCAGGUGCCUGGGACCUCUGUGA